rnacentral:tRNA from 1 species
CGCGGGGAAGGCAAUCGGAGAGCCACCGGACUCAUAACCCGGAGAUAGUCAGUUCGACUCUGGCCCCCGCUACCA